UCUGGGAGAGGUGUUGUAUGCCUGUAAUCACAGCUCUUUAGGAGGCUGAGGUGGGAGGACUGAUUGAGCCAAGGAGUUCUGGACUGACGUGCACUAUGCUGACCUUGUGGCCACAUUAAAUACAGCAUCAAUAUGGUGACCCUGAGGGCUGAGGACCACCAGCUUACCUAGGGAGGGCUGAAUCAGUCCAGUUUGGAAAGGGAGCAGGUCAAAACUCCCUUGCAGAUUAGUAAGGGGAUCAUGCCUGUGAAUAGCCACUGCUCUCCACCCUGGGCAACAUAGCAAGACCUCAUCUCU
rnacentral:SRP_RNA from 1 species